ACACAAAUAACAGGGAUUUUGUUAGGAUGCAGGUUCUGAUAUAGUAAGUCCAGAAUGGGACUUGAAAUUCUGCAUUUCUAAUAAAUUCUCAGAUGAUGCCCAG
rnacentral:pre_miRNA from 1 species